CGCCCCCCCCUCCCACUCAGCCGCCCUGAACCCCUGCACGCGGAGCCGCGACGGGCGAGCCAAGAGGGUGGACGCGGGCCUCUGGGGGGGAGUCCAGCCCCCCUUUCGUCUGCGGGGCGUCCCCGCGGGAGGAGGGACCCGGGAGGAGGCCUCCCGGUGGAGCAGCCCAGGGCUCUGACCCCCACCACCAACCCACCCCCGCCCGCCGAGUCUCAUUGCGCCCGGCGCCUGGUACGUUGGUCCGAGGGCGCGUCCGGCCUCCGCUCAGGCUCCGCAGAGCCUUAUCACAGGCGCAUUUAUUUAUCCUGGUUUCUGCGCUCACAGGGCUCAUUCCCUGUCAAAACAGCCAGCCAGUGACAGAGCCAGUUUGCAAAGCGCUGUCCUAUGUAACAAAACUGUGUACACACCUUGAACUCCCCGGCCGCUGCUGCUGGGAGGCCUCUCCCGUUACAGUUAAGACCCAGAGCGGCUACGGAAGGCCUGCGGUCCCGCCGCCCCGGCUUUUUGCCUCCUCCUCGCCCGGCUUCCAGGGCCCGACCGGGCGGCUGGCGGGGACGAGUCCAGUCCCACUGUCCCGGCGCCCGGCGCAAGCGGCCCCGCCAGCAGCUGCGACGGUUAGGAGACUAUUUGUCUCUGACAGGAGGGAGUGUUUCAAGGUUACUUUUCAGCCACAACCAGGUACCCACAGAGUUUCGUAACUAAAACAAACAAGGCCUGAGGUGAGGGGUGAAGCGAGAGGAAAGAGGGGAAUUAAGGAAUCAAUACUGGGGCAAAAAGAGUCCGCCCGAGGAGGGCCUCUGUGGUCUUCGGUUUCCCGAGGAACUGUUUCAUGAGAAUUUGCAACCCUAGCACCAUAUUCGUCCUUUUAUUUUCGAUCCAACUUCCAGUUCAAAUGAUCAUCUGUUCUGGGUUAGCUACGGAGACCUCAGUGAGCCAGAUUUGGGGUUAGGGUGGUAGGGAAUACUACUACAGGUGUUUGGAGGUGGACACCUUUUCUUGAUUCUAAAAACCCAGCUGGGUCGUGAGGAUGCAGCCUUGAGCUCUCAACCCCAGAGAGAGAGAGAGAGAGAGAGACAGAGACAGAGAGAGAGAGAGAGACAGAGAGACAGAGAGAGACAGAGAGAGAGAGGAAACAGUGGGUAUCUGCCCCACCUGUCCAGAGUUGUGGGGAGUGGUGGCCGAAGACAGAAGCGAGGUGGCAGGCGCGGAACAGAGCAUCUAGAGCGGAAGGCCGGGUAAGGGUCAGGCCAGAGGGCAGGGGCGGAGCAGUGGGCUGGGGCAACUCCCACCCCUUCCCUCUACUCCAGGGCGCUAGGGCCUGCAACGCUUUGAGCUAAAGGUGCAGGCGAUGCUGGUCUAAUUCAUAAGGAGGGCGUUAAUGCACCCGUUGAGCAAGGGCCGGGGAAGGGUUCCCCACAGCCAAGGUUUGCGUCUGCCCGAAAGCGAGGACCCUCAAGAGGGACAGGGCAGUCCUGGGUACAGCCUGGGUGUCGGUGUGUGCGGGGGAGCCGAAGGGACCAGACCCUGGGCAUCUCUCACCGGUCCCCAAGCAUGGGUGGAAACGACUUGACCACUCUCCAGAGGCCUGGGGAGAGACCGACGGUGCGCACUGCCCUGUUUUUAGCGUUCUGCGCAGGCCCAGGGCAGAAACACAGACACAAACGCGCACGCACGCACGCACGCACCCUUCCUCCUCCCCGCGGGGCCCUUAUCACAUUCAUCAGUGAGUGUGCUUAAUCACUCAGUCGUGUUCGACUCUUUGCGACCCCAUGGACUGUAGCCCGCCAGGCUCNNNNNNNNNNNNNNNNNNNNNNNNNNNNNNNNNNNNNNNNNNNNNNNNNNNNNNNNNNNNNNNNNNNNNNNNNNNNNNNNNNNNNNNNNNNNNNNNNNNGCCCACCAGGCUCCUCUGUCCAUGUCAUUCUCCAGGCAAGAAUACUGGAGCGGGUUGCCAUUUCCUUCUUCAGUACUGCAGGUCAUCUCUCC
ensembl:lncRNA